rnacentral:ncRNA from 1 species
AUGAGUUUUGCCAUAGUCCUUGGCCAGUUUAGUUAUAUUUACAAUCUGGGGGAAACAGGGUGUUACAAGAUGAAAGCUAGGGGAGAAAAUGGGGUUAGAUACCCCAAUAUUCCUACCCGUAAAUGACAGAUAUUAAGUGCUAUGUGUAUCAACCCAUGUAGUUUUGUAGAUAGCAUGUUAAGUAUCAUGCUUGGGAAGUACGCUCGUAAGAAUAAAACUCAAAGGAAUUGAUGGGGGCCACACAAGUGGUGGAUCAUGUGUUUCAAUUCGAUGUGAAGUGAAGAACCUUACCAUGGCUUGACAUGCUGUGAAUCCUCCCAAAAGGGAGGAGUGCCUUCAGGAACAAAAAUAAAGGUGGUGCAUGGUUGUCUUCAACUCAUGCCAUAAGGUGUUGGGUUAAGUCCUACAAUGAGUGAAACCCUCAUGUUUAGUUUCUAUCAUUUAGUUUGGAACCAUGAAUAGAGUGUUGGUGAUAAGAUGAAGGAAGGUGAGGAUGAUGCAAAUUCAUGAUUCCCAUUACAACCUGGGUAACACACUGGAUGUAACCCUUUUGUAAAUCUCUUCACUUAACUACAAGACUUCUUGUCGAUUAAAACAUUGUUAAACAAUCACUAGAACCAUUGAACCACUGUCCCACUAGAUAAAUAUUAUUAAUUCUUUCUCUGCAGUUAACUACCAUC